UGAACGCUAGCUACAGGCUUAACACAUGCAAGUCGAGGGGCAGCAUUGGGAUAGCCUGCUAUUCCAGAUGGCGACCGGCGCACGGGUGAGUAACGCGUAUCCAACCUUCCCUAUAGUAGAGAAUAGCCCGGCGAAAGUCGGAUUAAUGCUCUAUGUUGUGUUUUGAGGACAUCUGACGAACACCAAAGGUUCACCGCUAUAGGAUGGGGAUGCGUCUGAUUAGCUUGUUGGCGGGGUAACGGCCCGCCAAGGCGACGAUCAGUAGGGGUUCUGAGAGGAAGGUCCCCCACAUUGGUACUGAGACACGGACCAAACUCCUACGGGAGGCAGCAGUGAGGAAUAUUGGUCAAUGGGCGAGAGCCUGAACCAGCCAAGUAGCGUGCAGGGAACCGACUGCCCUAUGGGUUGUAAACUGCUUUUAUCAGGGAAUAAAGUGCGGCACGUGUGCCGUUUUGUAUGUACCUGAUGAAUAAGGACCGGCUAAUUCCGUGCCAGCCGCAGC
rnacentral:rRNA from 1 species